rnacentral:rRNA from 1 species
GAAAAUAUGUCCCAGUUCAGAUUGCAGGCUGCAACUCGCCUGCAUGAAGUCGGAAUUGCUAGUAAUCGCAGAUCAGCAUGCUGCGGCGAAUACGUUCCGGGCCUUGUACACACCGCCCGUCAAGCCAUGAAAGCCGGGGGGCGCCUGAAGUCCGUGACCGCGAGGGUCGGCCUAGGGUGAAACCGGGGAUUGGGGCUAAGUCGUAACAAGGUAAC